AGGGAGCUUCCCUGACAUAAAAUUGUUAAUAAAGCUUUUCCUGCCACUGCUCUGUGAUUUAAUGGAGUGGAUUACAGUACUUUGUUUUCUAAAAGCCUGACAAUCUCCCACUAGAAUGGUUAGAUUGGAGUCCUUGAGUCUGGAAAAAUGGCUCCACUUAGCGGUUUCAUUAUCUUUCUUUAGAAGACACAAGACCUUCUCUUCAUUGGGUGUAAUGCAGAAGGGAUCCAGGACCUAACAGAAACAGUUUGGAUUCUGAGAAGGGGAAUGCAGCCAGGUUAUUAUUGGAUACUUGGACACAAUUACGGUCAUUGGAGCCCUUACUUCCAGCUGGUUGUCAAUUCAGAUGGUUGCUGUGAUAAGCAUACUCAACUGAAUAGCCAUAUACGGGGAGAGAUACAACCCAGACAUCUGUUUUUGGAGCUGCCCAGCAACUCCCCAAGCUGUAACUGGUCAAGUAGUGCUCAAGCUGAGAUCUCCCAUCUCCACAAAGGCAGGCGAGGAGAAAGUCACUGCUUGUUGCUACAGUCUGUUGUGCCUGACAAGGGGACAACAUUCCCAAUAAUUCAGAAUGUCCUCCUGAGCCUGCCCAAUAAAUUUUCGUGCUUGAUUUUCAACACAUGGGCACCUAUGUUAUCAAGACCAUUGAACAAAAGCAAAUGAAGACUCGACAAGCGUUUCUGAGGACAUUACCUCAAACAUAGCAUUGGAUCCUGAGUUGCUUCCACUGAAGGAUGACACUGACAAGGCAGUGGGUUGGUGAAGAGGCAAUUUGCAGCCCCAAGCACUACCUCUCCCAACUCUCUAAAGCUACUCCUUUUUUGUGGGGGGAGGGGACACUAAGAAUUGCAGGGGAAAUUCUCAUUUCUGCACCCCACUUCCCCUAAUGGGAGCAUCUCGCAAGCAGAGUUCUGCUCACAGGGAUUUGAGACCCACAGCAAUUAAUUACUGUAAGUCCUUUCCCAAAUAGCUGGCUUUUGCGCUGAAGAAUCGCUAAUUCAGACUUGUCUAAUAAAUGUUUCCAGUACACUAGGAUCUUCUCUGAGGGAAUCUCCUGAAACCUCAUCACAGUUAAGGAUUACAACGUGUCAGUUACGGAUGCAGCCUUUUUCAAGUGAAGCCAUUUGGUACUGCACUUUCACCUUUAAUGUGCAUGAACUUGCCAAUUAAGGACCUGCACAAGGUCAGAAAUGCUGUAGCAAUUAUUACAGAGUUUAUGCUUAGUUUAUUCUAAACAUCUAAGAUGGAGCCUGAGGAAGAUGCGAACAUUGCCUAGCACAACAUAAGGAAGAAGCUUUUGUUUCAUGGUGCAUUUUGUGUUCUUAUUUUGUGUUUUUAUGUUGUGAACUGCCUUGUGAUCUUCAGUGAAGGGUGGUAUACAAAUUUAAUAAAAUAAAGAAGGACUGGUGAUAGCCCCCUGGGAAGUUGCUUCUACUAUCCCUCUUGCUUGCUUCAAGGCUUCAGUGAGUUGUAUCACUUGUUUUCAGCAUUUUCAUAAUGUAGCUGAGGCACCUUAUGAAGAGUAUGCUAGGCUAGACAGACUACAGAAUGGAAUUCAAGGUCAAGCAAAUGUUCCAUCUGUGCAACCAUAUCAGCAUGCCAGAUGGAACAAUCCUGCCUCCCCCUCAACAUGGGUUUUCUUCUGACACCGCCCCCCCCCAGCCAAUUUUGAGGGAAAGCCCCACUGAGCUAGUGGAAGUCCUUCCACUGGUCUUCUUCCAGUGAUGGGGCUCUAUAGGUGAAGCCUGCCCUAUAAAUCUGAUUCCGUCCAAUCCAUCUUAUUGCAUAUUUACAAUGAGCAAUUAUGUAUAGUUAUUCCUGCAGACCAUAAUCCAAUAUCCGCCAAAAGUGACAACACACACUGCAAAUGAGUUUGCAACAAUAGCGCAAAUUUUGGAGUAUGCACUUUCUCUCUGUGCUAGUACUUUAAACUUGCAAGCUAAAUGUACAACCAGAUAGUUCUCUUUCAUAAUAUCAGCAUUCAAGACACCUAAGCACAUUCAGCAAACUAUGCAUGCAUAAUGUAAUCCUAUAGCUGCUUCUAUAUGGAAUAAUGUUGUUUUGUCAGGUGGGAACCAUAAUGGCCUCAUCCCUGCAACAAUCAUUGUUAAUAUAAAUUCAAAACAUAUUUCUGCACGGUUUCAAUUUGCUCCAAGAUGCCACUUUCCAUCCUGUCAAAUGACUGGAGAUCAAAAGGACCGAGAUUUAUAAGCUCAAAACUGACAAAAUCAGAGUUCUAAAUAUAUACAGCCACAGAGUGUUGCUAAAUCUCCGGAAUCUCUUAAAUUAAAAAAUAUUGCCCAUUCUGAUGAAACUGCUUACAAUGACUACAAGUAAAGAUGGUGGCCAUUAAGUUUUAUCGCAAGCACCUGAGGAACUGUUCGCAUGCAAUACAAAAUGUUCUUUUAUUCUCCUAAAUUACUGACACUGGCAAAUUAAAAUGAAGUGGCUACAUAUGGCAGAAACAAUCUUCACAUUUACAAAUAUACUGAAAUAUCACUAAAUCAUAAAAAUGAAAGCUGUGGGUUAUAUAUUAUGAAUGUUGCCUAAUGCAUUCCCAGCUCAGUUAUUUGUUACAAAUUUGUGUACAAUGGACAAAAUUGGCCAUUUAUUCUACAGCAGCAGCUGGUUCUAGCGCUGGGUAUUAUAUCCAAAAAGAAAAGAAAGAAACACACAAUUAACCUUUGAAAUGCUGAAAAAGUAAAAGCAUUAAGAACAUUUUUCCAAUGUUUUAUCAAUUUUACUUUUACCAUAAGCAUUAAAGCUCAUUCUUCCUUCCCCGAAUAAAAUUAUGGUAAACAUUUAUUUCAUUUUAUUUCUGGUGGAAAGACCAGUAAACAACAUAAAGAGAUUCUAUCUUACAGCUAUGACCUGUGAAAUAACUAAUUUUAUUUUUUUAUUAAAAAAAAGUAAUUGGGUACUAUUAAACUGCAUACAAUCUCUAAAUAUUAAUACAUACCAUGCUGUAACUGAAUACUUUUUUUAAAAUUGCAAGAAUCCAGAAGAAGAUUCAAUAUAUCAUUGCAUUUAUCUUGCAACAGCCUUGUAGGAAUUGUUAUAUUUAAAGUGAAGUAUUUGAACAUCA